GGGAUAUGUAAAAUAAUCUUUUGGAUAUUUGAUAUAGUGCUGAUGCUGUGGUCAUGGCAUUUGCCGUGUUCUCGCAACUGCAAAAUUUCUGGCCGUUUUCCAUCUUCAAUAACGAUGAUCUGAAAGCCUCAUCCCGCAUAGUUCGCAGGCUUUCAAUCCCAGAAGAGACGAAACAAUUUGUUUUUGCUAUCCGGGAUCCUGAUUCACAUGUUGUGGUGUAUAUUUU
rnacentral:misc_RNA from 1 species